rnacentral:rRNA from 1 species
CCCUUAGAGUUUGAUCCUGGCUCAGGACGAACGCUGGCGGCGUGCUUAACACAUGCAAGUCGAACGAAGAGCGAUGGAAGCUUGCUUCUAUCAAUCUUAGUGGCGAACGGGUGAGUAACGCGUAAUCAACCUGCCCUUCAGAGGGGGACAACAGUUGGAAACGACUGCUAAUACCGCAUACGAUCUAACCUCGGCAUCGAGGAUGGAUGAAAGGUGGCCUCUAUUUAUAAGCUAUCACUGAAGGAGGGGAUUGCGUCUGAUUAGCUAGUUGGAGGGGUAACGGCCCACCAAGGCGAUGAUCAGUAGCCGGUCUGAGAGGAUGAACGGCCACAUUGGGACUGAGACACGGCCCAGACUCCUACGGGAGGCAGCAGUGGGGAAUCUUCCGCAAUGGACGAAAGUCUGACGGAGCAACGCCGCGUGAGUGAUGACGGCCUUCGGGUUGUAGAGCUCUGUUAAUCGGGACGAAAGGCCUUCUUGCGAACAGUUAGAAGGAUGAC